rnacentral:rRNA from 1 species
GAUGAACGCUGGCGGCGUGCCUAAUACAUGCAAGUCGAGCGAACAGACGAGGAGCUUGCUCCUCUGACGUUAGCGGCGGACGGGUGAGUAACACGUGGAUAACCUACCUAUAAGACUGGGAUAACUUCGGGAAACCGGAGCUAAUACCGGAUAAUAUAUUGAACCGCAUGGUUCAAUAGUGAAAGACGGUUUUGCUGUCACUUAUAGAUGGAUCCGCGCCGCAUUAGCUAGUUGGUAGGGUAACGGCUUACCAAGGCAACGAUGCGUAGCCGACCUGAGAGGGUGAUCGGCCACACUGGAACUGAGACACGGUCCAGACUCCUACGGGAGGCAGCAGUAGGGAAUCUUCCGCAAUGGGCGAAAGCCUGACGGAGCAACGCCGCGUGAGUGAUGAAGGUCUUCGGAUCGUAAAACUCUGUUAUUAGGGAAGAACAAAUGUGUAAGUAACUAUGCACGUCUUGACGGUACCUAAUCAGAAAGCCACGGCUAACUACGCG